rnacentral:rRNA from 1 species
GAUCCUGGCUUAGGACGAACGCUGGCGGCGUGCCUAAUACAUGCAAGUGGAACGCAUGAUUGAUACCGUAGCUUGCUACACCAUUAAUCAUGAGUCGCGAACGGGUGAGUAACGCGUAGGUAACCUGCCUACUAGCGGGGGAUAACUAUUGGAAACGAUAGCUAAUACCGCAUAAGAGUUUUUUAACACAUGUUAGAAAUUUAAAAGGAGCAAAUGCUUCACUAGUAGAUGGACCUGCGUUGUAUUAGCUAGUUGGUAAGGUAACGGCUUACCAAGGCGACGAUACAUAGCCGACCUGAGAGGGUGAUCGGCCACACUGGGACUGAGACACGGCCCAGACUCCUACGGGAGGCAGCAGUAGGGAAUCUUCGGCAAUGGGGGGAACCCUGACCGAGCAACGCCGCGUGAAGUGAAGAAGGUUUUCGGAUCGUAAAGCUCUGUUGUAAGAGAAGAACGUUGAGUAGAGUGGAAAGUUACUCAAGUGACGGUAUCUUACCAGAAAGGGACGGCUAACUACGUGCCAGCCGCGGC